GGAGGCGAGUCGUGGCUGGUGCUGCGUCCGGGCUUCAAACCCGGUGGGAGUCGGUUCAGCCGGCUCCGGUGGGUUCGAUUCCCACACGCCUCC
rnacentral:tRNA from 1 species